rnacentral:rRNA from 1 species
AGAAUCAACGCUGGCGGCGUGCCUCAGACAUGCAAGUCGAACGCGAAAGUCCCCUUCGGGGGACAAGUAGAGUGGCGCACGGGUGAGUAACACGUAGGUAAUCUACCUUUGGAUGGGGAAUAACAACCGGAAACGGUUGCUAAUACCGCAUGAUGCAGCGGCACCUAAUGGUGACAGUUGUUAAAGCGGGGGAUCGAAAGACCUCGCGUCUGAAGAGGAGCCUGCGGCGGAUUAGCUAGUUGGUAAGGUAAUGGCUUACCAAGGCUACGAUCC